rnacentral:rRNA from 1 species
GUAGCGAAAUUCCUUGUCGGGUAAGUUCCGACCCGCACGAAAGGCGUAACGAUUUGGGCACUGUCUCAACGAGAGACUCGGUGAAAUCAUAGUACCUGUGAAGAUGCAGGUUACCCGCGACAGGACGGAAAGACCCCGUGGAGCUUUACUGUAGCCUGAUAUUGAAAUUCGGCACAGCUUGUACAGGAUAGGUAGGAGCCUUUGAAACGUGAGCGCUAGCUUACGUGGAGGCGCUGGUGGGAUACUACCCUAGCUGUGUUGGCUUUCUAACCCGCACCACUUAUCGUGGUGGGAGACAGUGUCAGGCGGGCAGUUUGACUGGGGCGGUCGCCUCCUAAAAGGUAACGGAGGCGCUCAAAGGUUCCCUCAGAAUGGUUGGAAAUCAUUCAUAGAGUGUAAAGGCAUAAGGGAGCUUGACUGCGAGACCUACAAGUCGAGCAGGGUCGAAAGACGGACUUAGUGAUCCGGUGGUUCCGCAUGGAAGGGCCAUCGCUCAACGGAUAAAAGCUACCCCGGGGAUAACAGGCUUAUCUCCCCCAAGAGUUCACAUCGACGGGGAGGUUUGGCACCUCGAUGUCGGCUCAUCGCAUCCUGGGGCUGUAGUCGGUCCCAAGGGUUGGGCUGUUCGCCCAUUAAAGCGGUACGCGAGCUGGGUUCAGAACGUCGUGAGACAGUUCGGUCCCUAUCCGUCGUGGGCGUAGGAAAUUUGAGAGGAGCUGUCCUUAGUACGAGAGGACCGGGAUGGACAUACCUCUGGUGUACCAGUUGUCGUGCCAACGGCAUAGCUGGGUAGCUAUGUGUGGACGGGAUAAGUGCUGAAAGCAUCUAAGCAUGAAGCCCCCCUCAAGAUGAGAUUUCCCAACUUCGGUUAUAAGAUCCCUCAAAGAUGAUGAGGUUAAUAGGUUCGAGGUGGAAGCAUGGUGACAUGUGGAGCUGACGAAUACUAAUCGAUCGAAGACUUAAUCAA